rnacentral:rRNA from 1 species
CGAACGGGUGAGUAACACGUGAGUAACCUGCCCCAGAGUGGGGGACAACAGUUGGAAACGACUGCUAAUACCGCAUAAGCCCACGGAACCGCAUGGUUCAGAGGGAAAAGGAGCAAUUCGCUUUGGGAUGGACUCGCGUCCGAUUAGCUAGAUGGUGAGGUAACGGCCCACCAUGGCGACGAUCGGUAGCCGGACUGAGAGGUUGAUCGGCCACAUUGGGACUGAGACACGGCCCAG